UACGAAGGGGGCUAGCGUUGCUCGGAAUCACUGGGCGUAAAGGGUGCGUAGGCGGGUCUUUUAAGUCAGGGGUGAAAUCCUGGAGCUCAACUCCAGAACUGCCUUUGAUACUGAAGAUCUUGAGUUCGGGAGAGGUGAGUGGAACUGCGAGUGUAGAGGUGAAAUUCGUAGAUAUUCGCAAGAACACCAGUGGCGAAGGCGGCUCACUGGGACGGUACUGACGCUGAGGCGCGAAAGCGUGGGGAGCGAACAGG
rnacentral:rRNA from 1 species